rnacentral:rRNA from 1 species
UACGGAGGGUGCGAGCGUUAAUCGGAAUAACUGGGCGUAAAGGGCACGCAGGCGUGCUUUUAAGUGAGAUGUGAAAUCCCCGGGCUUAACCUGGGAAUAGCAUUUCAGACUGGGAGUCUAGAGUACUUUAGGGAGGGGUAGAAUUCCCCGUUUCGCGGUGAAAUGCGUAGAGAUGUGGAGGAAUACCGAAGGCGAAGGCAGCCCCUUGGGAAUGUACUGACGCUCAUGUGCGAAAGCGUGGGGAGCAAACAGG